GAUGAAGAACGUAGCGAAAUGCGAUAAGUAAUGUGAAUUGCAGAAUUCAGUGAAUCAUCGAAUCUUUGAACGCACCUUGCGCCUUUUGGUAUUCCGAAAGGCACACCUGUUUGAGCGUCAUGAAUACCUCAAUCUCCAUCUUUUCUUCGGAUUGAUGGGUGACUUGGAUGUUGAGCCCUGCUGGUAUGCUAUAUCAGCUGGCUUUAAACUUAUUAGCCGGCUCUGUACUGGAUCGGUUUGACUCGACGUGAUAAUAUUAUCGUUGAGGAUGCAUGUCUCAUGCAGCCGGAAAGUAUCAAGGCAGCUUCUAGCUUGCCUUUAGUGCACUUUUACAUUUUAGACCUCAGAUCAGGUGGGACUACCCGCUGAACUUAAGCAUAUCAAUAAGCGGAGGA
rnacentral:misc_RNA from 1 species